GACAGAGGCCUCAAGCGUUAGGCGGAAUCACUGGGCUUAAAGCGUGUGUAGGCGGACUUCUAAGUGCCUUGUGAAAUCCCACGGCUCAACCGUGGAACUGCUGGGCAUACUGGGAGUCUUGGGCCAUUCAGGGGCAACUGGAACAAGCGGUGGGGCGGUGAAAUGCGUAGAUAUCGCUUGGAACGCCGAAGGUGAAAACAGGUUGCUGGGGAUGUGCCGACGCUGAGACACGAAAGCCAGGGGAGCAAACGGG
rnacentral:rRNA from 1 species